rnacentral:lncRNA from 1 species
CUACUCUAGCAUCCUCCCUAUCUUAUUUGGUUAGAACUCCCUCUACCUUUAUUAGUUCUGUUAAUUGCUCUUGAGUUUUAGCAUCCUCUCUUCUAUUUACUUUGUUAGUUCGGUUAAUUUUUUGGCAUGUUUUGUCAUGUAUAAUCAUUUCUAUACAAAGUUCCUGACUCUAUGGCAUCAAAGACUUUCUGGCAAGCACACAAAAUCGUGGAGAUUCACCGAUUAAUUCAUCUUCGGCCAUAAUCAAGAUUUGGUGAAACUCUGAAAAUGGUAUGCGUUUCUUGGCCUUAUUUCUCGCUUCUCAUAUUUAAAUCUGGGAAUGGAUAGUUUUAGCUACUAUGAUUGAGUUGAUGGCCUUGAGCUAUUUGAUCUUUUUUGUAGUUGAGCCCUGUACACGAUAGAUUCGAGAAGAUGAAAAAUAUGCUUGCUAGCAAUUCAUUCCAACUCGCAUGUUUUCAAUUUUAAUUGUGUGUCUGUUAUUAUAUUUCUGUGUUUUAGUUAUUGGGACGAAAGUUAUAAAAUUCAAGCCAUUCCAAAAAUCCUACUAUUACUCAAAGAGUGGAUUUUAAUUUCUAAAUAUCUUUUUUUUUCUAACCAUUAAAUAAUUGAGUUAAAAUAUAACAACAACAAUAACAACCCAGUAUAAUCCACUAGUGGGUCUGGGUCUGGGGAGGAUAGUGUACCCCUAUCUAGGUUAGAGAGGUUGUUUCCGAUAGACCAUCGGCUCCCUCUCUCCAAGAACUCCUCAGGGGUGACUCGAACUCACAACCUCUUGGUUGGAAGUGGAGGGUGCUCACCACUAGAGCAACCUACUCUUGUCAAAUAAUUGAGUUAAAAUAUCCCCUUAAAUUCAAAUUAAUUAGUCUAUUCAAUCGAAUGUUUAAGUUGAAUUUGUGUAUGGCAGAGAAUAUUUUUUCUGAUCAAAUUAGAAUCAAGGAACCAUUUAGUUUACAUGUUCUGAGUUUGUUAAUGUAUUUUAUCUACUUUGAAUGUCCUGAAAAGCGUUUUUAUUUUGAUGUGCAGAUUUCAUUGUCUCAGUUAAAAAAGUGGAUAAAAGCAAGAAAAGUAAUAACUACUGAGCAAUUCCAAAUGUAGUUUAAGCAUUGUUUACCCAAUUUCUAAAUUUAAAAUUUAUUUGUCUAAAACCUCUGUUUUGUUUUAAGUGGCAGAACUGUAUAAACUAAAAUGAACUUGUAGGCAAGAAUUAUGAAAACGGAGAAUUGAUCCUAAAAUAUUUAGGAAGCUUCUUGUCCAAACACAAAGUCACAUCCAAACAACAUAUAUUUUACUUUAUAGUCAUGCUUUUACAAGUUCGUAGCCGGUAAGUAAAAUGACAGUCUUUCAUUUCACUUUCAGUAAAAUUAUCAUUUACUAAUUUCUUUCACAUUCAGUGAUAUCUGUUAUUGUCUAUCAAUAUCUCUCUUUCUUUUACCCUCUAUCUCUCUCUUCCUCUUCUUUUAUAUAUUCUUCAGGUAUUGCAUUUCUUUUCUUUUAUCAGGAUUAAGGGAGAAUCAAGUGGAGAACAUGGAAAAGAAACACUCAGCCUAACAGGUGAGCAAUGAAGCUUUUGGUCAGAUUUUAUCCUUGAAUUUCUGUUUGAUUUGUUGCUAAAUGCAGUGAAGUUUGCGUAUUUUAGUUUCAUAUUAGCGUUUCAAAGUUACUGGAUUGAAUAGUCAUAGUUGCUCCUACGCGGAGGUUGUGUUGAGUCUCCUAUUUGAUUGAUAUGUUUACGACUUCAUUAUUUGCAUUUCUCUCUUUUAAUGGUUUGCCACUUUGGUGUUCUUGCUUGUUCGAACUCCUGGUAACUUUAAGUCAAUGCGAUUAGCGAAAAUUGCUUUGGAAAUAGCUGCAUGGUUCAUGUGCUUACAUCAAGUUUCUGAAUUACUAGAAGAGAGGAGAAAUUUUAUGCACGUAUAUAACUUGAACUUGCAAAUGUUUCAAAUUGAUAAGAGUAUUGACAUGGGAGAUUAUACGAUCUCUUCUCUAAUUGGUGCUAUCUUGAGGGAUUUUAUGUUGCGUGUCGUAAAUAUUUAGUAGAUCUCCAACACUAAAUGGAUACCAAAACAUUUAGUAAAAGAGCAUUUUUGAACAAACGAUAAAUUGAAAUUAUGUCGAAUAAUUCAAAGAACUUCAAUUAUACCUCCUGUAUAUGUGUAUAUUAUAACAAAAGCCAAUGACAAAUACGAGAUAUUGUGAAUUGUGCACCAACAAAUAUAAAAAAGGAACGAAAAAGAUGUAAAUAAGGAAUAACAGACAUCCCAGAAAAAUGAGAAGUGAUAGACUGUCGCAUAAGGAGAAACCUGAGAAUGGAAAAUGAUUGGUAUUUGCCAUCCUUGACCGAGUUCAUUCUAAAACAAAACUGAAAUAUAUUUGUUUACCUAAGAGUCUCAAGAUAAAGAAGUGUCUUUUCCCUUUUGCCAAGGUUAAAUAAAAGCAUUAUCCUGCACUUCAUCGAAUAAGUUAAAGAUGACAAAGCAUUAAACCCAUAUGACACUAGCUAUAGAGAAAAUCAAAAGAAACUACCAACAAUCAUAAAAAGUUAAGAUAAAGGCCUAGAAAUAGAUAGAGGGGUAAAUAGAAUGUCUUUGAAUAAAAACAAAGAAGGGUAGCUUGGUUGAAGAGUAAAAGGGAUCCAAUGCGGGUAAAAGGGUUAAUUCAUCUGUAUUUUCAUAAUUGAUUGGUGUUUAUUUGUUUUCUGAAGGUAUAAAAGUGGUAAUAUAAGUCUUCUCAUAGUUAAAUGAUAUUUUGGAAUGUCAGAGGUUGGCUACCAAGCUGGGUUCUAUAGCAAGUUACUCAUUGCUGAUGGUUAGGAUGUGCUUGUGUGCUUGAAAAUAUAAACAAUUCCUGUGCGUUUGGGUAUUGUAUUUAUAAUAGUUAACUGUGGUUGGACAAUAUUUCUAGAGCCAUACACUAUUCGUAUGUCCUCUUCCACACAUAUUGUACAGAAAGUGCCAUAUUAUGCCCAUAUUGUAUUUAUUUUGUUAUGAUUAUCCAUGUUUAAUUCAUUAUGGAGGACUAUUUCACUUCCAUUAAAAUAUGGAUAAUAUUUCAAUUUUGGUUAGGCUGGAGACCUAUUGGUUUAUGUCAAGAUAUUGGUCAUAUUUUCUCCGCGUAUUUGAGUAAUUAAAUAUGUUAUGUUAAAGCUCUAGAUGAGUUAUUCUAUUGACAAAAAAGCUUAUGACUUUCCUAGAAGGGUAUGAACUGAGGGAGAAAUUCUUAAACAAGUCGUAUAUGCUAAGAAGCAAACUGAAGCACACGAUAGCUUAGGUUUGUCUAAGAUUAAUCCGUUGAGAAAGGAGAGAUAGAAGACGCUUUGAUGGUGGCAAAACUUUACUUCAACAUCUGAAUAUCUUGCUUUAUUUUUUGUACUUUUGAUGUAAAUCUUUGAAUAUAUUAGUAUUAGUAAAUAUAAAACGAAUACUAGAUUUUUAGUUUUCUCUAUAGCUAAAAGCAUUGGUAUGCCUUUGGUCUUUUGCACCUUACUGAACAAAGAAAGGGUAUUCACACUUCAUGUACGAACUUUUUUAUGCACAUGGAGAGUUGAUUGCUUCACAUAGAAAGAAAAUUGUUUUUAUGAUUGCCAAGCUAGAAAAAUGCAAAAUGUACUGUAUGUUGAAACCUUCCAAUCGUAGCGCCCGUCUACCUUUGAUAUGAAAUUAUGAACUGCCUUAUCAUGAAAUGAAUGUCAAUUUAAAUUUAAUUACUUAUAACUGCUUUAAAGCACCGCCCCACAAAAAAGAAUAUGAAAUAUCACUAUCUAGUUUAAAAUAUAGUCACAGCUUAAAAGUUAGUACAAAUAUAACUAGGAAGCGCUAGCUAUGUUUUAAACAAGGAAAUUUCGACUCCUAUAACAAAAGGUAUACACCUUAUUUAUUAUAAAUUAAAAUUACUUUAAAAUAUUAUUAUCUAUAACUACCUUUUAUAUUUUAUAGCAAAAUAAGUAUUUAUGGUAUAUACUACCAUUGAGAUAUGAAAUAUGUUAUUUAUGUUUUUCCUCUCUCUUUCUUUCAAUUAACACAAGAUUCUCUCUUAGAUUUCUUUUUCUUUCUCUCUCUUUCUUUCAAUUAACACACGAUUCUCUCUCAAAAUUUCAACAUAUUUUUUCUUCUUUCUCUCUCUUCCUUCUCUCUCUUUUCGAGCAGAAAACCUGCAUAGUUUGUACGCCGGAUAUUGUAAUGGAUUUGUACUGCUUAGUUUCUACACCAGAUAUUUGCAAUGGAUUUGUAAAGAAAGAGACUGCGACUUUCUCUACGCCCGUUAUUGCAAUGGAUUCCUCUACACGGAUACUACAAUAUUUUUUAUGCCAGAGAAGAUUUGAGGGCCGGGGUUUUUUGUUCGUCUCCAUUUUUAGUUUUAAUACAAUGUACUUGGCCGGAAAACGCCAUAUCCGGAGAACUUUCUUCUCUUCUUUGCUAUUUAGUCCAUACAAUGAUACAAACGUAUUGUAUUAUAUAGAAAUUCACUCAAAUAUAUUGUAUUUUUGUAUAAAAAAUUAUUUUUACUGAAUACAAACAUUAAAAUAGAACAGAAUAUAAAUAGUGAAUACAUUUAAUUUUAAAAUAAAGUAAAAUACAAUAAAAUAUACUGAAUACAAAUAGAAUUACAGUGAAUAUAACUAAUGAAAUAUACUGAAUACAUCAGUAAUAACAUGUAUUAGGAAUAACUAAAAUGCUGCUAAUACAAAUUCAUUUGAAUGCACUAAAUAUAAAAUAGCGAAUACAUUAAAUACAAAUAUUGAAUCUAAUGAAUGCAACAGUAAAAAAAAAUAUAUUUAAACACACAAAAUACUAAAGUUAAAUACAACUGAAAAAUCAUUCUAAUUAAUUGGUUGAUAAUGAGGCAUGUAAGAAUUGAUUUUGUUGAGUUAUAUUAGGAGCGUAUCAUGGUAAUUGAUAUUAUUUCCGUUAUUAGACAGCUGGACAUACCUAUUUUUAAGGUGAUUGUCGGUAUUGUAUUCAUGAAUACAUGACGCGAAUACAUUUGAAUACAUACGCGUACAGCUGGACUGCCCUGAUUUUAGACGCUUUUUGAUGUUGUAUUCAUGAAUAUAGCAGCGCGAAUACAUGUGAAUACAUGCGUGUGCAGCUGGACUACCCUGAUUUUAGGUGCUUUUUGCUGAUGUAUUCAUGAAUACAGCCGCGCGAAUACAUGUGAAUACAUGCGCGUACAGCUGGACUGUCCUGAUUUUAGGCGUUUUUGCUAUUGUAUUCAUAAAUACAGUCGCGCGAAUACAACGAAUACAAUACCGUAACAGCUGAAUAGUAGGUAUAGGAAGUAAUUAUGUAUAUGAUAGCAAUAAGAAGUUAAUAGCCACAAAACAACAAUGGUUUUUGAAAAUUUCUCUUUAAACAAGUCCUAAACUCCCCAAUUAAUCCAAUUAAUCUAGCACUCGAAAAAAGCCCAAAUAUAAAUUGGACCAAUUCUCUGACACCUAAACUAUCCACUGAAAUAGAACAAAGGGCAACAUAUAAAUUUGAUCCGUCGACCGAAACUAAUUAUAUUUACUAGUCGAAAAAUAUAUAAAAUAUGUAUAUUAUAGUACAUAAAAUAUAUAUGUACAAAAAAUAUACUCUAUUUUAGUGGCAUUUACUUUUGGAAACCGCUAAAAAUGUAUAUUUCUCUGGAAUAAAACGCUAUCAGUUAUCAACUUGAGGUGGCUAUUCAAUAUUCUUAAAAUAGAGAAACUGUAAGUUAUGCAGCAACUAAGCUGAGGAAGAAGUUUGAGGUGGUUAUUCAAUAUUCUUAAAAAAUGUUACUGCUUAAUCUGCUAUGUCUAAUAACCUUUUAUUACUGGUCAUGUGCUAAAAAUGUUUUUCUAGGUGGUAACUUUUGAGCUGCAUAGUGUUAUAUACGCAAUUAUCUUAGCUUUUAGUUACUAAUUGUAGAAAUGAGAAAAAAAAUAGAUAUUUAUAUGUGCGCUAUAGUAAUGAAAUCUCAAAGAAUGCGCAGCGCUAACGAGAAAAACGUUACCUUACAUACACCGCGAAAUCACACUUAAUUUUUGCGAGUCUACACAUCUUUAUAUCACUCGUCCAAUUAGUUUUUUCAAAUAAAAAUAAAACUCUUGAAGUCUUAAUGUUGUAUAUGGUAAUGAUAUGAAGUUGACAUAAUAUAAUGAUUCUUAAGAAUUUAUGCAUAGUGCAAAAUAUUUGUCUAAUGAAUGUCACGUUUAAUUUUUAAACCUAUGCACAAAACUAAGGUAAACUAGCAUUGAAAAGCAACCAAAUAUCACACAUUAGUGAUCAAUCCAAGUGGACAAUAAAAAAUCAAGAUUAAAAAAGGAAAGAGAAAUGAUUAAUCUUUUUCUAAAUCACAACGGGCCAUUAGGGGUAAAAUAACGAAAACUGGCUUCUUUUAAGGACUUCAAAUUUAAAAAAUAUUUAAAAUUAAUUUCUUGUUUUUGGUUUCUCACCAACAUUUGAUAUAUAUAUUUUGAGACGCAAUUAAUCCAAAUUUACCUCGACAAAUACACAAUACACAAUAACAAUAAAUCAUUCAUUAUUAAAUUUUAUUUUAUAAAUUACACAUCAUUAUACUUAGAACUCUGAACACGGAAUUACGGGUAUUGAGUCUCAAACUUUGAAUUAUUACUCCGACAUAAGGGUGGCAAGCGGGUCGGGUCCGGUCCCGAUCCCAAACGGGUCGGGACCAGUAAGACCGGUAUUCGUGGGCCUGGUCCGGGCUUCCGGGCCGGUUCUACAGAUGGGACCGCUGGGACCGGACAAGUCCCUGGCGGGCCAAACGGUCCAACGGUCAAAUUUCAAAAAAUAAAUUUAUCCAUUGGGGAAUUUAAAAUCUGGCCGUUGGCUAUUAACAAAAUAGUCAUUUAACACACACCCCCUCCCCCCCCCCCAACUUUUUGUUUUAACCCCAAACUUUUUAUAAUUACACUCUUUCCUAUUUUCAACUAUAAAUACCCCCUCAUUCUUUUAUUUUUCUUACAAAAUCAUCAAUCUAUCACAAUCUCUCUCUAAUUUUCUUCUAUAAUUGCUAUUAUUUCUUACUUUAUUGUUACAAUUUGUGAAAAAAUUAUGAAGUUGGUGAAUUGAAGUCUUCAAGUCUUCAACGAUAAUCAAUUUUCAACAAGUUGUUCGUCAAUUCGUUAAACUCGUUCCAACUCUUAAGUUUUAAUAUUAUUGUUUUGUUUGUUUUGUUUAUUUUCUAUUACUUGAUUAAUUAAGAUGGCUUCCUUAAAAAAGCGUUUUGGUAAAAAUAAGGGAAAAUCCAAGAGUAGCGAAUCUAGUGGUCAAUUUGUUCCUCCUCCACUGCCCCCGGCUCUCCGAUCCAAACCCCAUAUCCGUCCUACACCUGCUAGGGAUGGGCAUAAAAUCCGAAAAACUGAAUUCUGAAUCGAACCAAAUUAAUUUGGUAUUUCGGUUUUUUUGAUAUUUUGAUUUAUUUCGGUACAAAAAUUACAGUAUUUUUGUAUUUCAGUAUGGUAUACGGUAUUGGGUUUUUGAUAUUUUGGUAUACCGAAAUACCGAAAUAUUUUAGUCCAAGCCCAACUUUAUUUUUAUUUUUUAGCCCAAUAACCUUAAACUCACACCCCAAAAGUUCAAAACCCUUAAUUCCCUAAUCCCUUAGGCUUAGAGGCAGACAAGAAAAGGAAAAGCUACGCCUACGGGCAGUAUCAAAAAAACCAUUUCCCUUUCAAUUUUCUAACUUAGGUCAAAAAAUUCAACUUUGCUAGUUUGCUUGGUUGUUGCGGAUUCACGAGUUACGACUCACGACUACAAUAGUUUCACGACCUCGGCGACUCCUCUCCUCAACGAUUGCUUGUUUGCUCAUUGUUGACCUUCAUUCAUGUUCAUAACUUAUCCAUUCUUCAUUGUUGAUCAUCAUUCAUACGAGUUAUAAUCACAUUUCUGAGUUAAGUUGCUUUUUAACUAAGCCGUUUGUUUCAAUUUCUUUGUUCUUGUUGCUUACAACCUUGGUAUGUAUUGAUAUAUGUCAUUAGUAAACUGGAAUUGGCAGUCAAAUUAGAGUUUUCCUGAUUAGGAUGUUAAACUGUCUAGAAAUGAUUACUACGAAGGAGAAAAAUCAUUCAUUGUCACUCUGUUUCUAUCUUCUUGUUUGAUAUUUGCUUUCAAGUAUGUCAAUGAUAAUGCCAAUUUUAUGUUUCAUGACCUUUUACCUUCUCCUUUAAAGCUUAUUGAAUGAGUUGUCACUAUAAAAGGAAUGUCAUAGAUUCAAUUUGGCCAUUUACUCCAAAUAGUUUUUCCUUAUGAUGUGUGAUUUGUUCUUGUACUAGGCUGCUCUCUGCUAAUUACACGAUCAUUUGCCCUUGUAGUGUUUUGCUUGUAGUGUUCUAUGUAGUAUUUUGGUUUUAACAAUUUGUGUUUAUAUUUGUUUUAAUUUUGUGUAGAUGGCGGAUGAAAGUAGAGUAAGUGAUGUUAGUUCAACUGAAAGCUUACCUAUUACUGAUGAUAGCAAUGCCAACACAAUUGAUGAAGCAUGUUAGGGCUUGUCUUGAGCGUCUUCCAAAAAUUCUUAUUUAAGUUGAAUUUAGUGAAUUGAGACAAUCUAUGUUAUUUUGCUUUUAUUAGACUGCCUUGUUGUUGUUGCCUUGUGGUAUUUUGCAUUGUUGUUGCACUGUAACAGUCUAACAGAGGAGUCGACUUGGAGUCUUGGACUGUGUUUAGACUUAAGUGUUCUGUUUUUCUGUACGGUAAAACUAAUUGGGUUAACUGGUUAAGUGUUAUGUUUUC